rnacentral:rRNA from 1 species
GCUCAGGAUGAACGCUAGCUACAGGCUUAACACAUGCAAGUCGAGGGGCAUCAGGAAGAAAGCUUGCUUUCUUUGCUGGCGACCGGCGCACGGGUGAGUAACACGUAUCCAACCUGCCGAUGACUCGGGGAUAGCCUUUCGAAAGAAAGAUUAAUACCCGAUGGUAUAUCUGAAAGGCAUCUUUCAGCUAUUAAAGAAUUUCGGUCAUUGAUGGGGAUGCGUUCCAUUAGGUUGUUGGCGGGGUAACGGCCCACCAAGCCAUCGAUGGAUAGGGGUUCUGAGAGGAAGGUCCCCCACAUUGGAACUGAGACACGGUCCAAACUCCUACGGGAGGCAGCAGUGAGGAAUAUUGGUCAAUGGGCGAGAGCCUGAACCAGCCAA